rnacentral:rRNA from 1 species
AAUACGUAGGGUCCGAGCGUUGUCCGGAAUUAUUGGGCGUAAAGAGCUCGUAGGCGGUUUGUCGCGUCUGCUGUGAAAUCCCGAGGCUCAACCUCGGGCCUGCAGUGGGUACGGGCAGACUGGAGUGCGGUAGGGGAGAAUGGAAUUCCUGGUGUAGCGGUGGAAUGCGCAGAUAUCAGGAGGAACACCGAUGGCGAAGGCAGUUCUCUGGGCCGUAACUGACGCUGAGGAGCGAAAGCGUGGGGAGCGAACAGGA